UACGGAGGGGACUAGCGUUGUUCGGAAUUACUGGGCGUAAAGCGCACGUAGGCGGAUUUGUAAGUCAGGGGUGAAAUCCCGGGGCUCAACCUCGGAACUGCCUUUGAUACUGCGAAUCUCGAGUCCGGAAGAGGUGAGUGGAAUUCCCGGUGUAGCGGUGAAAUGCGCAGAUAUCGGGGAGGAACACCUAUGGCGAAGGCAGCUCGCUGGGACGUUACUGACGCUGAGACGCGAAAGCGUGGGGAGCAAACAGG
rnacentral:rRNA from 1 species